GGGGCUGUAGCUCAGUUGGGAGAGCGGUUGAAUCGCACUCAACAGGUCAGGGGUUCGAAUCCCCUCAGCUCCA
rnacentral:tRNA from 1 species